rnacentral:lncRNA from 1 species
AUCCAAUCCAUGCAUAAGCUACUGGAGCAUAUCAUUUAACCCUUGGAACUGUGCCCUAGUCUUAUCUUGAAAUUGCCAAACUGCUUUCUAUGCUGCACAAACUCAGUAUAGUGUUGCUGCUAUAAAUCAUAAACUCGAUCUAGUCGGUAAGCCAAAGCACUAAUCUAAGCACUCAAUGUCCUUGUAAAGUAAGAAGAGGAAGCCUCAGAUGUAGGCAUAAAUACUCUGGCUGGGUUAGGAAUCCU